rnacentral:lncRNA from 1 species
CAACCUCCUCCGACCACCUCCGAACGCAUCGGCGCGCGCGGUGACGAAAUCCCCCAAACUGGCAAGGCAGCCAUUCCUCGUGGUCGCGACCGAGGGGCCCAAUCGCGGCGAGGGGAAUGGGUUGGUGGCCGGAAUCGAGCUAGGUACCCGCUGCUACCGAGGUGGUGCUCGUGCGCCUCGCCUCCGCCGUGCGGAGGUACCCUCCGGGCUACGGGAGAGCUGCCGCCGCGUCCAAACCUAGUAAAGCGCAAUCAGCAUCGCGCAACGGCGAGGCGGAGUCAAUCGGUGGUGAUUAGAAGGUGGAGAGGAGAUGCAGGUGGUGCGCGGGAGGAAGUUGGUGGGCGGCCUUGGGACCUGACUGGGCUCACGUUACCACCAUUCCUGUCGUGGGCGCAGCAUGGGAGGAGGUCGCAGCGGCAGAAGUUGCUGUGA